rnacentral:rRNA from 1 species
UACGUAGGGUGCGAGCGUUGUCCGGAAUUAUUGGGCGUAAAGGGCUCGUAGGCGGUCUGUUGCGUCGGUAGUGAAAACUCAGGGCUUAACCCUGAGCCUGCUUCCGAUACGGGCAGACUAGAGGUAUGCAGGGGAGAACGGAAUUCCUGGUGUAGCGGUGAAAUGCGCAGAUAUCGGGAGGAACACCAGUAGCGAAGGCGGCUCGCUGGGCCACACCUGACGCUGAGACGCGAAAGCUAGGGGAGCGAACAGG